CAAACCGCUGCACCACCCAGGGAUCCCCGAAAUACUAUUUACUGCUAAAUAAAGGAAAUUAAAAAGGCCUGGAAGAAACUUAAAUGCAUACUAAUAAGUGAAAGAAGACAAUCUGAAAAGGCUACGUACUAUAUGAUAUUCUGGGCAAUAUUCCAUAAGAAUAAAAAGCACACAUUUCCUCAGCCUGUUUUCUGCUCCAUCUUCCCUUUGUUCUCUUGGACAAAUUGAGUGAUGUUGAUUUCAUUUGGAAUGUGCAGUAUCAAAGGUUACGUGGAGAUUAUGCAAGUGAAGUAAACCAUCAGGACAAAAUUGGAGAAAUUCAAAGGAAAAAUAAUAGGGAAAAGAUGUUCAACAUAUGGAGAAAAAGUGGUACCACAGUUUAUCUAUUCAUCUACUUAGGACAUCUUGGUUACUUUCAAAUUUUAGAAAUUUAUAUUAAAUCUGCUAUACAUACUCAAGUACUGGUUUCUAUAUGAAUAUAAGGAUAUAAACUUCAGCUCAUCUGGGUAAAUACCAACGAGCACAAUUGCUGGAUUAUAUGUGUCCUUAGAAAAGAGGAGAGGACACAGAGAAGAAGGCCAUGUGAAGAAUGAAGCAGAGAUUGGAGUGAUUUUCUACAAGCUAAGGAAGGCCAUGAACUGUGAGGAGCCAUCAGAAGCAAUGAAAAGACAAAAGGACUCCUCUCUAGAAGACUUCAGAGACAGCAUGUCCUUUGUCGUCACCUUGAUUUCAGGAAUGGCUGAGAAGUAUCUUAGACUUUUGUUGUGACGAACUGCUUUUUGCAAAGGACUUCCCACAUACUCUAAGAACAUACUACCUGAACCUUGUCUUCACUCUUCCUUAUGGCUCUCAUAAGACCUCUGUCCAUACUUCUUUAUUUUAUUUGCCUCUAUUAAAGCCUAGACCCUAUUCUUCUUUAUGGAAAUGUUUCUCAUUAAUAAAUAGUCUCUCUACUGCAAAAGCCUAAAUAAAAUCAUUU